CAGUGACCAACAGUGUGGGAGUAGGAGAGGAUCUGGAGACUGCUGCUGCUGGGGAGGAGCACUCAAGCUGGAGCACUGGAUGGAUAAACAGUAACAGCUGUAGGAAGUUCACCAGGACACUUUGUUGUCAUUCCUGCUCAGACCUCGGAAAUGAAGAACAGUCAUGUAAACACGGAUCGGAGUAACCCAGCAGAUGAAUGCAAGAAGUUUAAACGAAAGCUUCGGGAUUCUGUUAAACGUGAGGAAAAGAGCUCACAUGACUCGAAGAAAAGCCUCGACUCGGUAGAACCUCUGCUGGAGCAGGUUUAUGGAAAAACCCAUGAGAACAAGUUCCAGAGUUUUGAUCCAGCUGGAGAAUACAUCCAGCAACCGGACGUCUUGAACACUGCUCUCGAUAUGAAAGUGUACACGUUGCCGUCACUGAGUAGGAAUGAAACAGAAACGCCACUGUGGUCGAUUUCAGAGACUGGGGGGAGAACCAGAAGCGACACAGCAUCACUACACGAAUCGGUCUUCGAUCAUCAGCAAGCGUUUCCAGCAAACUGUCCUCCUCCUCAUCAUCAUCACCAUCAUCAUCAUUCGCGUAUCCUGUUAUGCAAACGCUCUGAAAGGUCUGUGUGCUCGACCUCUAGGGGUUCGUACCUCCAAAACAGUACUGAAACCACCGAGUCGGUUCGGAAACCAGCUGAAGAGCAGUCUGCUGGUGUGGUCACGGAGAUCAGAGCAAUUCAGCAGACACGAAGACUCCUGGCAAAUGCUCGAGAGAGGACCAGGGUUCACACCAUCAGUGCAGCGUUCGAGGCUCUGCGAAAGCAGGUGCCUUGCUACUCCUAUGGACAGAAACUCUCCAAGCUGGCUAUAUUAAGAAUUGCUUGCAACUAUAUCCUGUCAUUGGCUCAACUUGUAGAUCUGGACUAUACACCAGACCACAGCAACAUGAGCUUCAGGGAGUGUGUUGAGCAGUGCACCAGAACCCUGCAGGCUGAGGGUCGCUCCAAGAAGAGAAAGUGUCUGGUGUGACCCCCUGGUGUAGAAAUAACUGGAACUAAACGUCUGGGGUGACUGUUGAUCAUCUGCACAUCGGAUCGGAGGGAUUUUAGCACAUUCAUCAGUACAGAACAGCUUCGACUCUGGGAUGUUGGAGUAAAAUGAAGACUGGCUUAGAAGAAAGAAGAACGUCACUACGGAACGAUCAGGACGAGGCGUAUUCUACACUGAUGCAUCCUUACACUUGACGUGUGAGAUCCUGGAAUGUUCUAUCGAAGUAGGCUAAAGUGUGUGAGGAGAAAAAAAACGUCACCGAAUUAUUACAUAUAUAAUAAUAAUAAUAAUAAUAAUAAUAAUAAUAACAAUAAUACGGUAACUGCAGAUAUUACAAUAUAAUACAUUUAACACUGCGAAAAUAUUAUACAGAACACACUAUUAUUAUAAUUCUACACCGCAACGAUGAACGAUUAUUGUAAAAUGCCCAUAUGAUGUUUGUCAAUCGGAUGACGCGUUGCAGGUUUUACAGAUAUUUCAGUUAGCUUGCAGGAUUUAAUUUACGCUUGAAUUUGAACUUGAGGCUUGUAAAACUGCAUGGAUGGGUUAGGUAGCACAGAUUCAUAAUAUGAAUUAUUAAUAUAAACAAAUGUUUAAUGACGCAUUAAAGACCGCUUCCAUCAAUAUGAAA